rnacentral:lncRNA from 1 species
UAAUGAAUUGAUGAGAAAUACAAUGAAGAUCCAAUGUGCAUCUCAAAAUACUGCUUUUACAAAAGCAGAAUUUAAAACAAGUGAAAUGAAAUGA